rnacentral:rRNA from 1 species
AACGAACGCUGGCGGCAGGCUUAACACAUGCAAGUCGAGCGAGACCUUCGGGUCUAGCGGCGGACGGGUGAGUAACGCGUGGGAACGUGCCCUUCUCUAUGGAAUAGCCCCGGGAAACUGGGAGUAAUACCGUAUACGCCCUUUGGGGGAAAGAUUUAUCGGAGAAGGAUCGGCCCGCGUUGGAUUAGGUAGUUGGUGGGGUAAUGGCCCACCAAGCCGACGAUCCAUAGCUGGUUUGAGAGGAUGAUCAGCCACACUGGGACUGAGACACGGCCCAGACUCCUACGGGAGGCAGCAGUGGGGAAUCUUAGACAAUGGGGGCAACCCUGAUCUAGCCAUGCCGCGUGAGUGAUGAAGGCCUUAGGGUUGUAAAGCUCUUUCAGCUGGGAAGAUAAUGACGGUACCAGCAGAAGAAGCCCCGGCUAACUCCGUG